rnacentral:rRNA from 1 species
UGGGGAAUAUUGCGCAAUGGGGGGAACCCUGACGCAGCCAUGCCGCGUGAAUGAAGAAGGCCUUAGGGUUGUAAAGUUCUUUCGGUAUUGAGGAAGGUUGAUGUGUUAAUAGCACAUCAAAUUGACGUUAAAUACAGAAGAAGCACCGGCUAACUCCGUGCCAGCAGCCGCGGUAAUACGGAGGGUGCGAGCGUUAAUCGGAAUAACUGGGCGUAAAGGGCACGCAGGCGGUUAUUUAAGUGAGGUGUGAAAGCCCCGGGCUUAACCUGGGAAUUGCAUUUCAGACUGGGUAACUAGAGUACUUUAGGGAGGGGUAGAAUUCCACGUGUAGCGGUGAAAUGCGUAGAGAUGUGGAGGAAUACCGAAGGCGAAGGCAGCCCCUUGGGAAUGUACUGACGCUCAUGUGCGAAAGCGUGGGGAGCAAACAGGACUAGAUACCCUGGUAGUCCACGCUGUAAACGCUGUCGAUUUGGGGGUUGGGGUUUAACUCUGGCGCCCGUAGCUAACGUGAUAAAUCGACCGCCUGGGGAGUACGGCCGCAAGGUUA